AAUCAUGUUGAGGGCACUGUCUUUGAAGACUCUUGAAUCUAUCCCAUGCUUCCAACAAUGAUUCUCCAUAUGCCUGAGCAAAAUUUGUUAUGCAAUUCCUUGUUAGAAU